rnacentral:tRNA from 1 species
UUAAGAGUAAGUUAAAAUAAAAACUGUAGACCUGUGGAGUCUUUAAUCCUUUUUGGCUUUUGAG